UACGUAGGUGGCAAGCGUUGUCCGGAUUUAUUGGGUUUAAAGGGUGCGUAGGCGGUUCAAUAAGUCAGUGGUGAAAUACGGCAGCUCAACUGCCGAGGUGCCAUUGAUACUGUUGGACUUGAGUACAGACGAGGUAGGCGGAAUUGACGGUGUAGCGGUGAAAUGCUUAGAUAUCGUCAAGAACACCGAUAGCGAAGGCAGCUUACUGGGCUGUAACUGACGCUGAGGCACGAAAGUGUGGGGAUCAAACAGG
rnacentral:rRNA from 1 species